UGAGUACGAGACACUACGGUGUCGAAGCAGUCUAUGUCAUACUUCCAAGAAAAGCUUGCACUGUCAUAAACAAAUAAUGCCUGUACCAUAACCGACACAGGUGGGUAGGUAGAGUAUACUAAGGGGCGCGAGAUAACUCUCUCUAAGAACUCGGCAAAAUGACUCCGUAACUUCGGGAGAAGGAGUGCCUUAUAUUUUAUAAGGUUGCAAUAACAAGAUCCAAGCAACUGUUUACCAAAAACACAGGUCUCCGCUAAGUCGUAAGACGAUGUAUGGGGGCUGACGCCUGCCCAGUGCCAGAAGGUUAAAGAAGUUGGUUAGUAUUUGCGAAGCUGAUAACUGAAGCCCUGGUGAACGGCGGCCGUAACAAUAACGGUCCUAAGGUAGCGAAAUUCCUUGUCGGGUAAGUUCCGACCCGCACGAAAGGCGUAAUGAUUUGGAUACUGUCUCGGAGAGGGACUCGGUGAAAUAGACUUGUCUGUGAAGAUGCGGACUACUUGCACCAGGACAGAAAGACCCUAUGAAGCUUUACUGUAACUUGAAAUUGAAAUUGGACUUUACUUGCGCAGUAUAGGUGGGAGGCUUUGAGAAUAUUCUUGCGGGAAUAUUGGAGCCAUUAGUGAGAUACCACUCUGGUAAUGUUAGAUUUCUAACUUUGUAUCAUUAUCUGGUCAAAGAACAGUUUCAGGCGGGCAGUUUGACUGGGGCGGUCGCCUCCUAAACGGUAACGGAGGCGCACAAAGGUUUCCUCUGAACGGGUAGAAAUCGUAUCUAGAGUGUAAAGGCAUAAGGAAGCUUGACUGUGAGACCUACAAGUCGAGCAGGGACGAAAGUCGGUCUUAGUGAUCUGACGGUGCUGAGUGGAAAGGCCGUCACUCAACGGAUAAAAGUUACUCUAGGAUAACAGGCUGAUCUCCCCCAAGAGUUCACAUCGACGGGGAGGUUUGGCACCUCGAUGUCGGCUCAUCGCAUCCUGGGGCGGUAGUACGUCCCAAGGGUUGGGCUGUUCGCCCAUGAAAGCGGUACGCGAGCUGGGUUCAGAACGUCGUGAGACAGUUCGGUCCAUAUCCGGUGUAAGCGUUAGAAUAUUGAGAGGAGCCUUCUUUAGUACGAGAGGACCGAGAAGGAUGCACCGCUGGUGUACCAGUUAUUGUGCCAACAGUAAACGCUGGGUAGCUAUGUGUGGAGUGGAUAACCGCUGAAAGCAUCUAAGUGGGAAGCCCACCUCAAGAUAAGUAUUCUUAUCACGUAAGUGAAUAAGGUCACGGUAAGACUAACCGUUUGAUAGGCAUUAAGUGUAAAUCUAGUAAUAGACGAGCUGAGAUGUACUAACAGACCGAAGAC
rnacentral:rRNA from 1 species